CCUACGGGUGGCAGCAGUGGGGAAUAUUGGACAAUGGGCGAAAGCCUGAUCCAGCCAUGCCGCGUGUGUGAAGAAGGCCUUCGGGUUGUAAAGCACUUUCAGUGGGGAAGAAAGCCUUGGGGCUAAUACCCUCGAGGAAGGACAUCACCCACAGAAGAAGCACCGGCUAACUCCGUGCCAGCAGCCGCGGUAAUACGGAGGGUGCGAGCGUUAAUCGGAAUUACUGGGCGUAAAGCGCGCGUAGGCGGUCUGAUAAGCCGGUUGUGAAAGCCCCGGGCUCAACCUGGGAACGGCAUCCGGAACUGUCAGGCUAGAGUGCAGGAGAGGAAGGUAGAAUCCCCGGUGUAGCGGUGAAAUGCGUAGAGAUCGGGAGGAAUACCAGUGGCGAAGGCGGCCUUCUGGACUGACACUGACGCUGAGGUGCGAAAGCGUGGGUAGCAAACAGGAUUAGAUACCCUGGUAGUC
rnacentral:rRNA from 1 species